rnacentral:rRNA from 1 species
UAAAGGAAUUGACGGGGCCCGCACAAGCGGUGGAGUAUGUGGUUAAUUCGAUGCAACGCGAAGAACCUUACCUGGUCUUGACAUCCCGGAGACCCUUAGGAAACUAGGGGGUGCUUCCAUCUGGAAGAAUCUGGAGACAGGUGCUGCAUGGCUGUCGUCAGCUCGUGUCGUGAGAUGUUGGGUUAAGUCCCGCAACGAGCGCAACCCUUGCCUUUAGUUGCCAGCAGUUCGGCUGGGCACUCUAAAGGGACUGCCGGUGUUAAACCGGAGGAAGGUGGGGAUGACGUCAAGUCCUCAUGGCCUUUAUGACCAGGGCUACACACGUACUACAAUGGCCGAUACAAAGGGCAGCGACACUGCGAGGUGAAGCCAAUCCCGUAAAAUCGGUCUCAGUCCGGAUUGGAGUCUGCAACUCGACUCCAUGAAGUUGGAAUCGCUAGUAAUCGUGGAUCAGCAUGCCACGGUGAAUACGUUCCCGGGCCUU